GUGAAACUCCCCGGAGCGCGCGAGGAUGGUGUGUUGAAUGGAGAGCUGAGCGGGACACAGAGUGAAUGAACAGAAAGAGAGAGAGAGAGACGGCGAUAAAGUUCCACUCCACCACAGCGUCUGUUCACGUACAAACACUGGUGGUCCAGAUGUGACAGGAAUGACUCCAUGACGGCAGUGACUUUGCGGGGACAUGGCUGUACUCAGGCUGCAGGAGGUGAAUGUUUCGGGCCUGCUCGUGUCAGUGUUGUGGCUGCUGACUCUGGUCAUGUUGCUGAUGUCCUGUAUUCUCCACAAGAGACGGCGGACCGAAGGGACGUACCAGCCCAGCGCUGAGGAGCGCAAACAGGCCGAGAGCGGAGAGCCCGAGAGACCGUCGCUCACCCUGCCUCUGCCUAAAGAGGAGAGACUCAUCUGACUCGUUUUCCCUCUUUAUACUAAAUGUGGUCAACAGGUUUACACUUUGAUACGUUCUUUAUUUUUGAGCUGGGGCUACGAGACUAAUGAAGGUAACAGGUACUGGACAUUAGCAUCAGGUUAGCAUUGCAUAAAUCAUCUCACACUUGCCUCAACUGUGUGAAGCUGUUGAGUAAUUUCUAAUAGACUUGCUUAAGUGGUUUCUGUCUCACUCUCUACUACACUGUUAACAGAUAAAUUCAUUAGCAUAGCUAAAAACAGUAGCAGUAGCCAUGAAGCCGGAAUUUUGUCUGCAUUGAAUCGAUCUUUUUACAUAACAGUGUGUCAUACAGGAUCAAAAACCACAUAAUCAAGUCUAUUUUGACAAUACGUGCAGUUUGCAUGUCACUAGGCUAAUUGGUGACAGAUAGGCUUCCAUUUACUUGUUAGCUACAUUAGCCUCCAAGCUCCUGUCCAAAACUGAGAAAAAAAACACUUCAGCUACGGUAAGGGGAAAGUUGUGCAAGUUAGAUGUUUUUCCAGACUGCUGCUUUAAAUGGAUCUGGCUUCACCCUACCUUUGCCAGAGAAGAGACUGAUCUGAGAUUUGCUCUGGAACCCUUGUAGGACUCUGGAUCUGCUGGUGUGCCUAAAUAGUCCCCCCCCCACA